rnacentral:rRNA from 1 species
UACGUAGGGGGCAAGCGUUGUCCGGAAUCAUUGGGCGUAAAGAGCUUGUAGGCGGUUUGUCGCGUCUGCUGUGAAAAUCCGAGGCUCAACCUCGGACUUGCAGUGGGUACGGGCAGACUAGAGUGUGGUAGGGGAGACUGGAAUUCCUGGUGUAGCGGUGGAAUGCGCAGAUAUCAGGAGGAACACCGAUGGCGAAGGCAGGUCUCUGGGCCACUACUGA